AGAGGCAGGAACCAGCUAGCUUAAGGAGUUUGGAUGUUUACCCCUUGGUGCUGAGGUGCUUUCGGCCCCCAGUGAAACCGUGCAAACAACUUCGUAGUGGGAUUCUGCAGGGUGGCCCGGAGAAUGUGGAGGAGCCGGCCGGAGGUGGAGGUAGGCAGGAGGGGUACACACCAGUGUCAGUUCAGGAGGCCUGCACAGGAAUGUCUGCUUCUGAUAACAGAAACCGAAGCGAUUCCCAAUUUUAUUUUAUUUUAUUUUUCCCCCUUGAGUAGCUAAAUGCCUUUUCUGAGUAAAGGAAGAGACAACUUCGAAUGGGUGGAGGAAGAAGCUGAAACCAAUGUCAGAUCUAUUUAGUUCUAGACACCCAGGGAGCUCUUGAUAGAUAUACAUAUCCAGCAGACAGCACUAUGCAUUGACGCCAGGUGGAGACCUCAGCUUUCCCUUGAGAGAUAUAAUCCAGAUUCUGGACAUGGAAGCAGGAAGACCACUCAUUAAAGGUCUGCCUGGGAAAUUUAAUGAGGCCAGCAGCUCAAAAUAAAAGAAGUAGAAAGAGGGCUAGUGACAUAGUGCAAUAGUAGCAUGCUCACCCAGCAUGUGCCCUAUCCCAGCAUCAUUAAAUAGGCAAAUAAAUAAGCAGACUAUUGGCAACUUCUGAACACAGAGGCAACCAGGCCCGUGGGAGAGUGUGGACUGGUAUCCCCUCUGUAAGAGCAGCCCAGGUUCUCUCCUCUUCAAGCCUAUUUCCAACUGAUUGUUUGUAACCUCUCCAUUAUUUCCUCCAAAGACAAGGAAGGAUGUGACUUGAAAGUCCCCUUUGGAAGAAAAGAGGGGCUGGCUGGCUGGGAAAGCAAUUGGGCACCUGGAGCUCCAGUCCCAAUAUUGACUAUGUAGGUUUGGGCAGGACUCUAAACAUCUUUGAGAUUUUCACAGACGUGAAAUGUUAUAAUAACAUGUAUCUCCCUGGGCUACUGUGAAGAGUCCAUGAAGAAGAGCAUGUGAAUUCUUCUGAGAGUCAUAAAAUAGAUGGUUCACUCUGCCGUACUUUAAAGGUGAGUAGAAUCA
rnacentral:lncRNA from 1 species